rnacentral:rRNA from 1 species
UACGGGGGGGCAAGCGUUGUUCGGAAUUACUGGGCGUAAAGGGCUCGUAGGUGGCCAACUAAGUCAGACGUGAAAUCCCUCGGCUUAACCGGGGAACUGCGUCUGAUACUGGAUGGCUUGAGUUCGGGAGAGGGAUGCGGAAUUCCAGGUGUAGCGGUGAAAUGCGUAGAUAUCUGGAGGAACACCGGUGGCGAAGGCGGCAUCCUGGACCGACACUGACGCUGAGGAGCGAAAGCCCAGGGGAGCAAACGGG